UACCACAAUUUGUUCAGUCAUUCCCUCUGCCAUGGCACCUCUGCCAUUUUUUCUUAAUGGGACCAACUCUCCUCUGUCUCUGCCAAACAGUCCCACUCUUAUCUGACCUCACAAUAUUUCCCACUGGGGCCAAAGAGAAGCUGAAGCACUUAUCUGGGGAACAAGCUCUAAAAGGCAGGCACUUGGAGAAAGGACCUCUUGGAGUAGAAGCCAUCAUUGCCAAACAGGGAAAAAAAAAUCAAAACCCAAUACAAGAAACAACAGAUUAAAAUAAAAAAAAAACUGGAAAGAACUACACAAGAUAAUGAACAAUGAAAUUAAUAGAACCAGAAGAACGUUAUAUACAGCCACAGAAUUAAUGCUGGAAGAAUUAAAUAAAUGCUGGAAGAAUUAAAACUGUGAAUGUUACCUCCAGAAAGAGAACAGAAAGUUUGUGGACUCCCCAGAGGUACAAAUCUUGGUGUAAAAAUAGCCACACCUAAAAACCACAGCAGCCACAAUCUGUUCAAGAAGUGGCAUCCAGAAAGCUGGAUCAUAGAGCUAUGUCUUUGAAAGGAGUUAAACCCAAAUUUCUGAGGGACCUAUGCUUUGCCAAGAAGCAUAACAAGAAGGGAGGAGGAGACUCCAGAGCCUUUUGGAAUCAAAACCGGAAAGGAUUCUUGUUGGAGCAACUAUGAGAAGAACCUAGAGAUGGGACAAGGAAAUGGUAUGAGGCUAAAAGCAUCUGGCCUAGAUCCAUGGACAAUUAAUCAACCGAGGAUCAAAUGAGUUGCCAUAUGUAAAAUGCGUUGGAAAUUUUAAAGGGCUCCAUAAAUGGGAGCUGUUAUUAUUAAAAUCAUAACUAUAAACUUUUAAGAUGUUGCAACUUCAUAAUUUCAUCAUAUUUGUUUGUUUGUUUUUAAUACCUGUCUGUUUCCCUGUUAUUAUCAAUAAAAC